AGGACAAACGCUGGCGGCGUGCGUAACACAUGCAAGUCGAACGAGCCGAGAGAUCGGCGAGUGGCGGACGGGUGAGGAACACGUGGAUAACCGACCCUUGACUGGGGAAUACCAAGACGAAAGUUUUGUUAAUACCGCAUACGCUGGAGACAGGAAAGCUCUUCGGAGCGGUCGAGGACGGGUCUGCGAACGAUUAGCUAGUUGGUGUGGGUAAUGGCUCACCAGGGCGACGAUCGGUAGCUGGUCUGAGAGGACGAUCAGCCACACUGGGAUUGAGAACGGCCCAGACUCCUACGGGGGGCAGCAGUGAGGAAUUUUCGUCAAUGGGGGCAACCCUGAACGAGCAACGCCGCGUGCAGGAAGAAGGUUUUCGGAUCGUAAACUGCUUUUCGUCGGGGAAGAGAACGGACGGUACCCGAGGAAUCGACGCCCCGGCUAACGUACGCGCCAGCAGCCGC
rnacentral:rRNA from 1 species